AGCGUGAUAGUUUAAUGGUAGAAAGUUGUGCUACGGACACAAAGGUGCAGGUUCGACUCCUGUUCGCGUUU